rnacentral:rRNA from 1 species
UAGCGUAUAUUUAAGUUGUCGCAGUUAAAAAGCUCGUAGUUGGAUUUUGGUUAAGAGGGCGCGGUCGGCCGUUUGGUCUGUACUGCGUUGUCUUGACUUCCUGAUGAGGACAUGCUCUUGGUUAACGCUGAGACAUGGAGUCAUCGUGGUUACUUUGAAAAAAUUAGAGUGUUCAAAGCGGGCUUACGCUUGAAUAUAUUAGCAUGGAAUAACACUAUAGGACUCCUGUCCUAUCUCGUUGGUCUCGGGAUGGGAGUAAUGAUUAAGAGGAACAGUUGGGGGCAUUCGUAUUUCAUUGUCAGAGGUGAAAUUCUUGGAUUUAUGAAAGACGAACUUCUGCGAAAGCAUUUGCCAAGGAUGUUUUCAUUAAUCAAGAACGAAAGUUGGGGGCUCGAAGAUGAUUAGAUACCAUCCUAGUCUCAACCAUAAACGAUGCCGACUAGGGAUUGGUGGAUGUUAAUUGAUGACUUCACCAGCACCUUAUGAGAAAUCAAAGUUUUUGGGUUCCGGGGGGAGUAUGGUCGCAAGGCUGAAACUUAAAGGAAUUGAC